GUGCUUGCUCAGGCAGUACGUGUGCUCAAACCGGACCGGUACAGAGAAGAUUGGCUUGGCCCCGUGUAAGGAUGACACGAAUUUGUGACAUAGUCCGUUUUUGU